rnacentral:snoRNA from 1 species
UGUCCGUAUAUGGGUAUGGAGACUGAAAAACUCAAAAAUUGUGUGUUGUCAUCAACUUCAUAUCUUGCAUAUAUCGAUACUGGAGCCAAAUAACAGCACUACAUUU